CCAAUAGCGUAUAUUAAAGUUGUUGCAGUUAAAAAGCUCGUAGUUGAAUUUCGGGGUCAGUAGGUUGGUCAUGCCACUGGUAUGUACUGAUCUUACUGAUUCCUCCUUCCUGAUGAACCGUAAUGCCAUUAAUUUGGUGUUGCGGGGAGACUGGACUGUUACUUUGAAAAAAUUAGAGUGUUUAAAGCAGGCUAACGCUUGAAUACAUUAGCAUGGAAUAAUGAAAUAGGACGUUCGAUCCUAUUUUGUUGGUUUCUAGGAUUGACGUAAUGAUUAAUAGGUAUAGUUGGGAGCAUUAGUAUUCAAUUGUCAGAAGUGAAAUUCUUGGAUUUAUUGAAGACUAACUACUGCGAAAGCAUUUGCCAAGGAUGUUUUCAUUAAUCAAGAACGAAAGUUAGGGGAUCGAAGACGAUCAGAUACCGUCGUAGUCUUAACCAUAAACUAUGCCGACUAGGGAUCGGAUGAUGUUAAUUUUUUAAUGUCUCAUUCGGCGCCUUACG
rnacentral:rRNA from 1 species